GACGAACGCUGGCGGCGUGCUUGACACAUGCAAGUCGAACGGAAAGGCCUGCUUUCCCUUGUGGAUUGCGGGUACUCGAGUGGCGAACGGGUGAGUAACACGUGAGUGAUCUGCCCCCAACUUGGGUAUAAGCCUGGGAAACUGGGUCUAAUUCCCGAUAGGACUGCAGGGUGGUGCCUGUGGUGGAAAACGAUUUUCUAGUGGUUGGGGAUGAGCUCGCGGCCUAUCAGCUUGUUGGUGGGGUAAUGGCCUACCAAGGCGGCGACGGGUAGCCGGCCUGAGAGGGUGGACGGCCACAUUGGGACUGAGAUACGGCCCAGACUCCUACGGGAGGCAGCAGUGGGGAAUAUAGCACAAUGGGCGGAAGCCUGAUGCAGCGACGCCGCGUGGGGGAUGACGGCCUUCGGGUUGUAAACUCCUUUCGACCGCGAGGAAGCCACCUGGUUGGAAGGGUGGUGACGGUAGUGGUAGAAGAAGCACCGGCUAACUACGU
rnacentral:rRNA from 1 species